rnacentral:rRNA from 1 species
UACAGAGGGUGCAAGCGUUAAUCGGAAUUACUGGGCGUAAAGCGAGCGUAGUCGGUUAUUUAAGUCGGGUGUGAAAGCCCCGGGCUCAACCUGGGAAUUGCAUUCGAUACUGGAUAGCUAGAGUUCGGCAGAGGGAAGCGGAAUUUCCGGUGUAGCGGUGAAAUGCGUAGAUAUCUGCAGGAACACCCGUGGCGAAAGCGGCGAGCUGGACCACUACUGACGCUGAAGAACGAAAGCUAGGGGAGCAAACGGG